GGGAAAUAAAUUUUAAUUUUAGGGCUUCACAAUUCACAAAUCACCGCUUCAGCUUUAUUCCGUCUUCCCAAAUGACGAUCGACUAGCUUCGACUUGAGAGUGGCGAACAACGAACUGUCGAUUGACGAGAAUAAGACCGACUCCAAGUCUCCGAAUGCGAUUUCUCCAACUUCCAGACCAAGACACGACCGCCGCCGACGUCCUUCACUGGUCUUCAGCCUUCACGUCAACGAAUCAUAAUCAACUUUAUUCGGUCUUCAGCCUGUGACUUCACAUUUAGGUUGGAUCUGUGAAAGAUAAAGUUAUUAGGAUGGGAGUCAUAAGCACCUCACUGCUUACUGCAGACAAUACUCCUAUGGUUGUACCAAAUACCGUAUUUUCUAGUCAGGCAAUUGUGAACAAAUCAUAUGCUGGUUGGCAUGAAUUGGUGUCCAAUAUUUAUCUUCAAGUUGAUAAGAAUGAGGAGAUCCACAAGAUGGUAGAAGAAAUCAUAAACACGGUGAAAUCGAACCCAAACUAAAAAACAUGGGUGAAGGCGACUUACUUUCAGCAAAGCAAGAUAUUCUUCUGCAGUUGGUUAAGAUAAUUGAGAAGCAUGGGCUUAAACUAGAUGAUCACAUGGGGAAACUAAACACUUUCUAACUCUAUGGAUCUGUAAAUAAAUAGUUUUAACUUUUGGUUUUGGAUUUUGUAACCAUCUUCAUUUUAAUCCUUGAAGUUGGUAUUAGGAAAAACACUGAUUGGGUUGUCAGCUUAUGUUAAGAAAAUGUGAAAGACCCGAAUAGCAUCUUAAUGCGUUUCUAAAAUAUCAUGUGUAAACUUUAA